AAAGAAACCAACAGGGAUUGCCCUAGUAACGGCGAGUGAAGCGGCAACAGCUCAAAUUUGAAAGCUAGCCUUCGGGUUCGCAUUGUAAUUUGUAGAGGAUGAUUUGGGGAAGCCGCCUGUCUAAGUUCCUUGGAACAGGACGUCAUAGAGGGUGAGAAUCCCGUAUGUGACAGGAAAUGGCACCCUAUGUAAAUCUCCUUCGACGAGUCGAGUUGUUUGGGAAUGCAGCUCUAAAUGGGAGGUAAAUUUCUUCUAAAGCUAAAUAUUGGCGAGAGACCGAUAGCGCACAAGUAGAGUGAUCGAAAGAUGAAAAGCACUUUGGAAAGAGAGUUAAAAAGCACGUGAAAUUGUUGAAAGGGAAGCGCUUGCAAUCAGACUUGUUUAAACUGUUCGGCCGGUCUUCUGACCGGUUUACUCAGUUUGGACAGGCCAGCAUCAGUUUCGGCGGCCGGAUAAAGGCUCUGGGAAUGUGGCCUCCACUUCGGUGGAGGUGUUAUAGCCCAGGGUGUAAUACGGCCAGCCGGGACUGAG
rnacentral:rRNA from 1 species